CAAAACUAAAAAUCCCCCUCCACUGCCACAUCCCCGCUUGUCUCCGGCCAUGUCUACCGUCUACCUCCUCCUCCGCGGCCGCCGCUCCUCUCGAAUCCCUUGCGGAGCUGCGCCUCACCCUUCUCCCCCGCGUCAUCCGCUGCGACCUCCGCAUCUUCCACUGCGAGAACCCACUCCGACCGAAUGGAUCUACUGGAAGGUGUCGCCGUGUCGGUGACAGAGCCGGAUGCCGCUGGCCGUGACCGUGAUCUCCAGCUCCUGCUCCUCAGUCCUCAUCAAGAUGAAGGUGUUGUUUACCUGAUGACCAGGAAGAAAUACAAGCAACCCAAGGCACGGGUUCUCGCUCUUCACACGAGGAACAAGACACUGCUGGGCGCAUCUGAAAAGCCAACCCUGUCCACCUGCCAUGUAAUGCUCUACUUAGUGCCAUUGCCAACUAUAUGAAUCCAGAGACGGACACAAGUAGGUAAAUUCUGAAUCAACUGAAGAGGAUGUGGAUCUACUAUUAAUUAGUUAUCCAUGACACUUGCUCUGAUUUCACAUGGUGGGUUGAUGGUCCUGUUGUUGAUGGCAACAUUCGCUGCUUCAUGUGUAGCUUCCCACACAAAAAAUAGCAGUCAGAGGGCAGUUAUCCAUGACUGUUGGAAGAUUAAUUUUUUUAUUAUUAGAAAAGGAAAGUAACGGCAUUAGUAUCAUUAUUGCUUUCAUAUUGAACUUGCGAGCCUUGGAUCAUCAUUCUAGCUUUUGUCGAUCAGCUGCAUUCUUCACCUUGUACUGGUGGGUCCUUUUAUCAUCCUCAUCUCUGUUAGGGUCCAUUAUAAUUGCUUUGUUUUUACCCAGUCAACUGUUUCAUUUGCUGAUGUCUACACUGCUUCAAGUGUAGCUUUCCAACACAUGGAUAUGACUAGUUAUCAGGCACUACAUCGUUUUUAAUUUGUUGCAGAUAAUAUAACUGGUUGCAUAAUUAAUUUGGGAUGAUAUACCCUUGGAUCCUAAGUUGGGUUAAUGUAGGAAGAGUGAAAAAUCAAGAUAAGAACAAACGUUGCAGCCUGGUCCGAAUGGAUCUACUGGAAAGUGUCGCCGUGUCAGUGACAGAGCCGGAUGCCGUUGGCCGUGAUCUCCAGCUCCUGCUCCUCAGUCCUCAUCAAGAUGAAGGUGUUGUUUACCUGAUGACCAGGAAGAAGUACUGAUGCUGAUAGGAGCGCUGAAAGGCUCUCAGAAGGCGAUGGAAGCGAGAAGCUUCCAAAGGAAGGAGGCGGCGAGAAGCUUCCUGAGGAGGAAGGCGGCGAGAAGCUGUCUGAGGAAACCCGUACAGAUAAACUUAUAAUGCCUUGUACUGAUAAGAGUACUUUCUUUUGCUCUUAGUUUGGUUUAGUGAACCAAGUUUUUCCUCUAGAUUCCUAAAAUCUAGGGAAUAUUGUAGAGAAAGUUGAAGAUGUGCCACAAAAGGCGGCCUCCGUGGUGCAGGCGACUACUUCCCAAGUCUCAUCGGAAAGUGUCGUGCCACAAGAGAAGCUGAAGCUUACUUUCAAGCUGUUGGGGGAGGUGUUAGAGCAGGGGGUAGCCAGCCACAGGACAAUUCAGAGCUAAAUGCUCUGAGAGAGCGAGUGAAAACGCUCUCGUCCGAGAAGGCUGCCCUUCAUGAGAAGAUCAAGAAGCUCUCCAAGGCCAAAAAAGAUGAGAUCGAGAAGCUCAAGAAGAUCAAGGAGCUCGAAACCUUGUCAGAAUCCCGGGACUUGAUACAGCGGAAGCUCGAAGAGCUUAGAGAGGUGAGGGAUGCUGCUCAAGACGUGGCAGGGCUUGUGGAGAUCCCAGAGGGGAAUGAAGACGAACCGCUCAUGUUGGCGGGGAGGCUUCGGAAAGUACCCGAAAGCUUUGAAAGGUAUGUCUCCACAACCACCCGACAGUACGUGGGACAUGUACUCGGAUUGGUGAAGUCCUAUUGGCCACGUACUCCCCUGAAUGCGCUCGGGGAAGGUGCAAAGGCCGAUUGCACCGACGACCAAUUUGGUCAAUAUCUGAGAGAGACCUCCCCCAUAGCGGACAAGAUAGUGGAGACCUUGAACAAGGCCGGGUCACCUUGAGUUUCUCCAUGAACUGUUUGGCGUGUAAGCCGCAAGUACUCUAUUCUGUACAAAUGUUUAAAUUUGUGUAAUGUCAAGUACUUGUUUUAUUCCUCGCAAAAAAAAUAUUUGUUUUA